rnacentral:rRNA from 1 species
GACGAACGCUGGCGGCGUGCUUAACACAUGCAAGUCGAACGGGCCUUGUCCCCUUUUUUUUUGGGGGUGGGGUUAGUGGCGAACGGGUGAGUAACACGUGAGUAACCUGCCCCUCACUUCUGGAUAACCGCUUGAAAGGGUGGCUAAUACGGGGUGUUCUGGCCUGCUCGCAUGGGUGGGUUUGGAAAGAUUCGACCGGUUUUGGUUGUUUUGGUGGGGGAUGGGCUCGCGGCCUAUCAGCUUGUUGGUGGGGUGAUGGCCUGCCAAGGCUUUGACGGGUAGCCGGCCUGAGAGGGUGGGCGGUCACACUGGGACUGAGACACGGCCCAGACUCCUACGGGAGGCAGCAGUGGGGAAUAUUGCACAAUGGGCGCAAGCCUGAUGCAGCGACGCCGCGUGAGGGAUGGAGGCCUUCGGGUUGUGAACCUCUUUCGCCAGUGAAGAAGGUCCUGCUCUUUGUGGUGGGGUUGACGGUAGCCGGGUUAAUGAAGCGCCGGCUAACUACGUG